rnacentral:lncRNA from 1 species
GCCCGAACCCUAGCGAUUCUCUUUUUUUAUUGGUCCAAAGGGUGACCCGAACCGUCAACCAUUGGCUUUCUCUGCGUGUCCGUCACUAAACCAAUUUCCAAGUCCGUCACACUGGCUUUUUUUAAAUGAACGCGCAAAAGGCGGGGAAGUAUUCGAAAAGCGAUUGGCUAGUCUUCGAAAACGGUCAAAUCCAGACAGUGUGUGCGGAUCCUUCCCGUUCUACGAGAAUCAUGCCCCUUUAUUUCUAACCUCUAAGCCUUGCGUAAAACAAGCGCCAUAAAGGAGCCAACGCGCUUGUGCAGUUAUAGGUGUAGAAGCCUAGUCCCACCCGGAAUUGCAGGGGGUUGGCUGCCGAUUGGCUAACAAAGUCCUGUUAGGCCCUCAUUGGAGAAUAUAAACGCCUCUCUUUGGCGUAGAGACGGAAGGGAUGGCGCGGGCGAGGAUCAGAAGCGGUCCGGGGAGAGGCGGUUGUUUUGCUUCAGCCAGCGGGAGGGGCAUACGCGGGAGAGAGAAGCUCAGAAUGCUGGGCUCUGGGGGAGGUGUUGCGGGGAGGGAAAAAGCCCGGAUGUUUCCCAACAAUGAAAUCAUCGCCGACCAAUCAGAGCUGCUGAGCUGAUAUACCUGCCGGACCUGUCCGCAGUAGGGGAGGGAAUGAGUUAGUGAGCGGGAAAUUGGGGUAUCAGGAAUGGCUGGAAAGCGAAUUGAGAAAACGGGACAGGCGAUCCCUUCAAGAGGACUCUGUGCUGUUAAGGGUUAUUUGUGUUCUUUCUAAGCCUGCAAUGCCUGGCAUUCAGCCCUUGACAUUUCCAUGUUUUGUUUCUUAGUCAACAUUGAUUUUUAAAACUCGGCCUAGUCUUUGACAUUCAUUCCUUCGUUCCACAAUUCUUGAGCGCCUGCUAUUUGCCAGGCACUAUGCGAAGAACUGCAGACACAAAACUAAAUUAGGCAAUCCCACUACAAGAUGAUACAUGCUAUCACUGAAACAUGCAAGGGAUGGUAGUGACAUAAAGGGAUCGUCCCUGUGUAUAGGUUUACUGAAGAAAGCUUCACAAAGAACAGUAUCAGUCUAGAAUGAAUGAUUCAAGAGGCAAAGGAAGGGAGUGGACAGGAUUCCUUCAGCAAUCGAAUUAGACUAACAGGUAUUGCCAGGUUAAUUCCCCCCAAAAGAAACAAAACUAAAGUGUAAUUAAAGCAUUCUAACACCUUAGAAUACCUUUUUUUUUUUUUUUUUUUAAUGAAAGUGCCCUGAUAAAGCAUUUAAACCUUAUUCACACUUUUGUGUAAAUUGGUUUGGACUGACAAUCAGAGCUGGCCCAGCAAUGGUGAGAAUGGCAAAAAUAAAGACUUAAUUGCAGUUCAGAUUUUUUCAUCUAUGCCCCAAUUUUGCAUAAUAAUAGGGGUUUUACGGUAUGGUGGCUAGCGCACCAGCAUCAUAAUCAGCUGGCGUGCAGAUUCCUGGGUCCACUCACACCCAUAAUAUCAGGGACUCUAGGGACAAGACUUAGGUGAAUUUUUAAAUUUUUAUACACACCAAUGAUUGAGACCCUCUAGCAUAGGUAAUGGAGACACCAUAAACUAAAAUUUAGUUGCCCCACUUCUGCAUGAUGGGAGGAAAAAUAAUAAAGAAAAAAAGAAGUAGGCCCAUUUAGACUUUGCCUUUCCCUUGUCUCCUUUGUUAUCAUUAUCACUUCUUAGGAAAUAUUUCUUAAAUAACUUAUAGAAUACAUUUCCUUAAAUCACUUUCCUUUGACAUACUUUAUAUAGGGGAAAAGGAGUCUAGGAUCUCAGCUUCCAAAAUGAGAAUCUAAAGAUCAUAAAAAUGGAGACAUCAGAGGACCCUGGUCUUGAGAAUCCAGGCAAUCUCAGAAGGACAUCAGAGAAGUUUCUUGAUCUGAUUGAUUUCCUUCUCACUUUCCCUUGGUUGACCCUAAGACUAAUACAAAGCACAAUCAUUUAGGUGGGCUGAUGAUUGCACAUCGUUCAUUCUUUCAAUCACUAAAAGUAAAGAUGCAU